rnacentral:rRNA from 1 species
GAUGAACGCUGGCGGCGUGCCUGAUACAUGCAAGUCGAGCGAACAGACGAGGAGCUUGCUCCUCUGACGUUAGCGGCGGGCGGGUGAGUAACACGUGGAUAACCUACCUAUAAGACUGGGAUAACUUCGGGAAACCGGAGCUAAUACCGGAUAAUAUAUUGAACCGCAUGGUUCAAUAGUGAAAGACGGUUUUGCUGUCACUUAUAGAUGGAUCCGCGCCGCAUUAGCUAGUUGGUAAGGUAACGGCUUACCAAGGCAACGAUGCGUAGCCGACCUGAGAGGGUGAUCGGCCACACUGGAACUGAGACACGGUCCAGACUCCUACGGGAGGCAGCAGUAGGGAAUCUUCCGCAAUGGGCGAAAGCCUGACGGAGCAACGCCGCGUGAGUGAUGAAGGUCUUCGGAUCGUAAAACUCUGUUAUUAGGGAAGAACAAAUGUGUAAGUAACUAUGCACGUCUUGACGGUACCUAAUCAGAAAGCCACGGCUAACUACGUG